AGGACGAACGCUGGCGGCGUGCUUAACACAUGCAAGUCGAGCGGAAAGGCCCUUCGGGGUACUCGAGCGGCGAACGGGUGAGUAACACGUGAGUAACCUGCCCCAGACUUUGGGAUAACCCUCGGAAACGGGGGCUAAUACCGGAUAUGACGACUCACCGCAUGGUGUGGUUGUGGUAAAGUUUUUCGGUUUGGGAUGGGCUCGCGGACUAUCAGCUUGUUGGUGGGGUGAUGGCCUACCAAGGCGACGACGGUUAGCCGGCCUGAGCGGGCGACGGCCAACGACGUGGACUGGAGACACGGCCCAGACUCCGUACGGGAGGCCAGCGAGUAGGGGAAUUAGUAGCACAAUGGGACGGAACGCCGUGGAUGCAACGGCGUAACCGGCCGCGGUGGAA
rnacentral:rRNA from 1 species